rnacentral:rRNA from 1 species
AGUGGGGAAUAUUGCACAAUGGGGGAAACCCUGAUGCAGCGACGCCGCGUGGAGGAAGAAGGUCUUCGGAUUGUAAACUCCUGUUGUUGGGGAAGAUAAUGACGGUACCCAACAAGGAAGUGACGGCUAACUACGUGCCAGCAGCCGCGGUAAAACGUAGGUCACAAGCGUUGUCCGGAAUUACUGGGUGUAAAGGGAGCGCAGGCGGGAAGACAAGUUGGAAGUGAAAUCUAUGGGCUCAACCCAUAAACUGCUUUCAAAACUGUUUUUCUUGAGUAGUGCAGAGGUAGGCGGAAUUCCCGGUGUAGCGGUGGAAUGCGUAGAUAUCGGGAGGAACACCAGUGGCGAAGGCGGCCUACUGGGCACCAACUGACGCUGAGGCUCGAAAGUGUGGGUAGCAAACAGGAUUAGAUACCCUGGUAGUCCACACCGUAAACGAUGAUUACUAGGUGUUGGAGGAUUGACCCCUUCAGUGCCGCAGUUAACACAAUAAGUAAUCCACCUGGGGAGUACGACCGCAAGGUUGAAACUCAAAGGAAUUGACGGGGGCCCGCACAAGCAGUGGAGUAUGUGGUUUAAUUCGACGCAACGCGAAGAACCUUACCAAGUCUUGACAUCCCUUGACAGGCAUAGAAAUAUGUUUUCUCUUCGGAGCAAGGAGACAGGUGGUGCAUGGUUGUCGUCAGCUCGUGUCGUGAGAUGUUGGGUUAAGUCCCGCAACGAGCGCAACCCUUAUGGUCAGUUACUACGCAAGAGGACUCUGGCCAGACUGCCGUUGACAAAACGGAGGAAGGUGGGGAUGACGUCAAAUCAUCAUGCCCUUUAUGACUUGGGCUACACACGUACUACAAUGGCGUUAAACAAAGAGAAGCAAGACCGCGAGGUGGAGCAAAACUCAGAAACAACGUCCCAGUUCGGACUGCAGGCUGCAACUCGCCUGCACGAAGUCGGAAUUGCUAGUAAUCGUGGAUCAGCAUGCCACGGUGAAUACGUUCCCGGGCCUUGUACACACCGCCCGUCACACCAUGAGAGCCGGGGGGACCCGAAGUCGGUAGUCUAACCGCAAGGAGGACGCCGCCGAAGGUAAAACUGGUGAUUGGGGUGAAGUCGUAACAAGGUAGCCGUAGGAGAACCUGCGGCUG